GUGAUUCUGUGAUGGGAGAAUGGUAGCUAGAAGUCGAAGCCUUGUCCAUGGAGUUGAAUACUUUUAACUAUGUGGUCCUUAAGUAAUUUACAAUUUUGAAUUUUUAGAUUAAGUGGGUUUGCAAUGAAUUUAUCUCAAUUAUCAAUUGAGCGGCAUUAAGAGAAUUAAUCAAUUUCCAAGACUGACUUCUUAGUAUUUUGUUGCUGUGAAAUUCUGCAACUAGUGUUUGUUUCUUGAGAAAAAUAAAGGAAAAUAAGAAACGAAGGAUAAUUCAGAGAGAGAAGAAGUAUCUAGAGAAGGGAAGAGAAGAGGGUGAGUUUCAUCAAAUUUCUGUAUUGAUUAACAUCCAAUUGCAAGUAAUGUACAAGGUUCAAGUUUUAGAUUAAGUGGGUUUGUAUUGAAUUGUUCUGAGUUAUCAGUAGAGCAGCAGUAAGAGAAACUUCCAAGACUGAUUUCUUCUUAGUAUUGUGUUGCAAUGAAAUUCUGCAACUAGUUUUGGUUUCUUGAGAAAAUAAAGGAUAAUGAGAAAAGAAGGAGAAUUCAGAGAGAGAAGUAUCUGGAAAAGACAAGAGAGCGAGUCUCAUCAUAUUCACAACUGAUUAACAUCCUGAAUCACAUCACUAUAUCUUGAAGUGAACUAACUCUAGCUGAGCUCUAACUAAUUAAUUGACUAACAGCCCCUUUUAACCUUCUACAGCUGUUCCUGCCAUAAUUUCUUCUUGCUUAUUCCUCCUUGAAGCUUCCUUAUUCUUCUCUACAUCAUAUUGAGAACCCGGUAAAUGCCCCAUAUUUAGUUCAGUCCUCAUAGAGUAGCUAUUCCAAUAUGGCGAAUAAAUCCAUCCACCAAUCCGCAUGGUGAUCAUGCAAAAUCUCUCCAGAAGCUGCUCUCUUAGAUGGUCUUUUCGAAGCACCGGAAGGGGAGGAUCCCAUCCUUUGAGCUUUUGUUGUUUACUAUAAUGCGGACCAGUGGAAGAUCCCUCGACUUCAAAAGCCUUAAAAUUGGACCUUGUGAAGGUUGC
rnacentral:misc_RNA from 1 species